GACAGAGGGGGCAAGCGUUGCUCGGAAUUACUGGGCGUAAAGGGCGCGUAGGCGGUAUGGCAAGUCGGUCGUGAAAUCCUUCGGCUCAACCGAAGAACGUCGAUCGAAACUGCCGUUCUUGAGGAUUGCAGAGGAGACUGGAAUUCCCGGUGUAGCGGUGAAAUGUGUAGAGAUCGGGAGGAACACCGGUGGCGAAGGCGGGUCUCUGGGCAAUUCCUGACGCUGAGGCGCGAAAGCGUGGGGAGCAAACGGG
rnacentral:rRNA from 1 species